GGAAGGAUGUUGCAUGGAGCUGAAACUGGCAGAUGUUUUCCUGCUGAGGCGUCCUAGGGAAUUCCCCUCAGACAGAGCAUGUUGAAUUUCAGCUUCUUUGCCACAGUUCCACAUUCAGCUUAAUGCAGCUUACAUACACACCCCUGGGUGAGUGUGUCAGACUGGCUUCCAGUGUGUGCCAGAACAGCAUGAGGGGGAGAGCUGAGGAGGCAGUGGAAGAAAGAGAAGAAAAAGAAAAUCUCUUCAAAAAUAGUGGUAAGCCAACAAGCUAAUGAGAAGUCUUGCUGCCACAGUCAAUGUCCCAAGUGCCUUGUGAGGGGCCUGAAGAUGUCUGUCACAGCAGCACCCAAAUCAUGUGGAAUUUAGUCCAUUUCAUGUCACUGGCCUAGGAGCACCAGCUGCCCCAUCCCAUCCCAAGGAAGCUGUCAGCAGCUUUGAGUAUGUCAUAGUUUGAUAAUUUUGGGUUACUGGUAUAUACUCUCAGUCUCAUCUGGGAGCAUGGGAUGGAAACCUCACGUCACCUUCCAUAAAUAUCAUCCUCAUUGUUACGGGACUUUGAUUAUAAUCUGUCACUUUGCAUGAUUUUGAAUGCUUGUAUGCAUAAUGAGGGCAAUAAAAUACUCUCAGCUCUCUGUCAGUUUGGGCAGAUUUGCCAAAGAUUGAGAUCCAUUAUUAAAUUAACUUCUGC
ensembl:lncRNA